rnacentral:rRNA from 1 species
AGUCCCCUCCCCCACGGGGAAAAACGCUAAUACUUUAUCUUUUUUUCCCUCGCAUGAGGGAUAUGAGAAAGACGGUUUCCGCUGUCACUUAUGGAUGGACCUGCGGCGCAUUAUCUAUUUGGUGAUGUAACGGCUCACCAGGGCGACGAUGCGUAGCCGACCUGAGAGGGUGAUCGGCCACACUGGGACUGAGACACUGCCCAAACUCCUACGGGAGGCAGCAGUAGGGAAUCUUCCGCAGUGGGCGAAAGCCUGACGGAGCAACUCCGCGUGAGUGAUGAAGGCCUUCAUGUCGUAAAUCUCUGUUGCCAAAGAAGAACGCUUGAGAGAGUAACUGCUCCUGAUGUGACGGUACUUGAAAAGAAAGCCCCGGAUAACUACGUGCCAACAGCCGCGGUAAUACUUAUGGGGCAAGCGUUGUCCAGAAUUAUUGGGCGUAAAGCGCGCGCACGCGGCUAUAUAAGUUGGGUGUUUAAACCUAGGGCUCAACCUUGUGUCACACCCAAAA